AUGGACCGAUCUCCGGUGCCGGCCAAGAAGAUCUGGCUCGCCAUCGCCUCCCGCCUCGGCCUCCGGCCAACAGCCGGGCUGAGGAACCUGAGGAAGGAGGUGAGGACGUGCGAGUACCGCGACGUCCACAUCAUGUGGGAGAUGCUGAGGGAGAUGGACUCCCCGGUGCCCCUGGAGGAGAAGCAGGCCGCCGCCGCUGCGGCCGUCGCGGCGGCCGCCGCCGCCAGGAAGAAGAAGAAGGCGUGGAGCCGCUUCGUCUACUACUGCUGCGCGUUCUGA
rnacentral:rRNA from 1 species